UGGGGAAUAUUGCACAAUGUGCGCAAGCCUGAUGCAGCCAUGCCGCGUGUGUGAAGAAGGCCUUCGGGUUGUAAAGCACUUUCAGCGGGGAGGAAGGCGAUAAGGUUAAUAACCUUGUCGAUUGACGUUACCCGCAGAAGAAGCACCGGCUAACUCUGUGCCAGCAGCCGCGGUAAUACGGAGGGUGCAAGCGUUAAUCGGAAUUACUGGGCGUAAAGCGCACGCAGGCGGUCUGUCAAGUCGGAUGUGAAAUCCCCGGGCUCAACCUGGGAACUGCAUUCGAAACUGGCAGGCUAGAGUCUUGUAGAGGGGGGUAGAAUUCCAGGUGUAGCGGUGAAAUGCGUAGAGAUCUGGAGGAAUACCGGUGGCGAGGGCGGCCCCCUGGACAAAGACUGACGCUCAGGUGCGAAAGCGUGGGGAGCAAACAGG
rnacentral:rRNA from 1 species